GGGUGAUUAGCUCAGCUGGGAGAGCACCUCCCUUACAAGGAGGGGGUCGGCGGUUCGAUCCCG
rnacentral:tRNA from 19 species